rnacentral:rRNA from 1 species
AGAGUUUGAUCAUGGCUCAGGAUGAACGCUAGCUACAGGCUUAACACAUGCAAGUCGAGGGGCAGCAUGUUGGUUGCUUGCAACCAAUGAUGGCGACCGGCGCACGGGUGAGUAACGCGUAUCCAACCUACCCUUGUCCAUCGGAUAACCCGUCGAAAGGCGGCCUAACACGAUAUGCGGUUCUCAGCAGGCAUCUAACGAGAACGAAUGUGAAGGAGAAGGAUGGGGAUGCGUCUGAUUAGCUUGGUUGGCGGGAUAACGGCCACCAAGGCGACGAUCGAGUAGGGGUUCUGAGACGGAAGGUCCCCCANAUUGGAACUGAGACACGGUCCAAACGUCCUACGGGAGGCA